rnacentral:rRNA from 1 species
UACGUAGGGUCCGAGCGUUGUCCGGAGUUACUGGGCGUAAAGGGCGCGUAGGCGGCGCGGGUAGUCAUCGGUGAAAGUUCAGGGCUCAACUCUGAAUCGGCCGGUGAUACUCCCGUGCUCGAGCACUGUAGAGGCAGGUGGAAUUCCGGGUGUAGCGGUGGAAUGCGUAGAGAUCCGGAAGAACACCGGUGGCGAAGGCGGCCGUGCUGGGCAGUGAGCUGACGCUGAUGCGCGACAGCGUGGGGAGCAAACAGG